rnacentral:rRNA from 1 species
AACGAACGCUGGCGGCAGGCCUAACACAUGCAAGUCGAGCGAGGACUUCGGUCCUAGCGGCGGACGGGUGAGUAACGCGUGGGAACGUGCCCUUUGCUUCGGAAUAGCCCUGGGAAACUGGGAGUAAUACCGGAUGAGCCCUUUGGGGGAAAGAUUUAUCGGCGAAGGAUCGGCCCGCGUUGGAUUAGGUAGUUGGUGGGGUAAUGGCCUACCAAGCCGACGAUCCAUAGCUGGUUUGAGAGGAUGAUCAGCCACACUGGGACUGAGACACGGCCCAGACUCCUACUGAAUGCAGCAGUGGGGAAUCUUAGACAAUGGGGGAAACCCUGAUCUAGCCAUGCCGCGUGGGCGAUGAAGGCCUUAGGGUUGUAAAGCUCUUUCAGCUGGGAAGAUAAUGACGGUACCAGCAGAAGAAGCCCCGGCUAACUCCGUG